UUUUGGUGCUUGCACUGAAUGAGAGUGGCGCACGGGUGCGUAACACGUAUGUAACCUACCCUUGUCAGGGGGAUAGCCUCUCGAAAGAGAGAUUAAGACCGCAUAACAUCAAUUUACAGCAUUGUAGUUUGAUCAAAUAUUUAUAGGACAAGGAUGGGCAUGCGGAACAUUAGCUGGUUGGUAAGGUAACGGCUUACCAAGGCUACGAUGUUUAGGGGAUCUGAGAGGAUGGCCCCCCACACUGGUACUGAGACACGGACCAGACUCCUACGGGAGGCAGCAGUAAGGAAUAUUGGUCAAUGGGCGGAAGCCUGAACCAGCCAUGCCGCGUGCAGGAAGACGGCCCUACGGGUUGUAAACUGCUUUUGCAGGGGAAUAAACCCCCGUACGUGUACGGGGCUGAAUGUANCCUGAGAAUAAGGAUCGGCUAACUCCGUGCCAGCAGCCGCGGUAAUACGGAGGAUCCAAGCGUUAUCCGGAUUUAUUGGGUUUAAAGGGUGCGUAGGUGGCUUAUUAAGUCAGGGGUGAAAGACGGUAGCUUAACUAUCGCAGUGCCUUUGAUACUGAUGAGCUUGAAUGAACUGGAGGUAAGCGGAAUGUGACAAGUAGCGGUGAAAUGCAUAGAUAUGUCACAGAACACCAAUUGCGAAGGCAGCUUACUACGGUUUAAUUGACACUGAGGCACGAAAGCGUGGGGAUCAAACAGGAUUAGAUACCCUGGUAGUCCACGCCCUAAACGAUGAAUACUCGAUGUUGGCGAUAUACGGUCAGCGUCUAAGCGAAAGCGUUAAGUAUUCCACCU
rnacentral:rRNA from 1 species